rnacentral:rRNA from 1 species
UACGAAGGGGGGCUAGCGUUGCUCGGAAUUACUGGGCGUAAAGCGCACGUAGGCGGCUUUCUAAGUCGGGGGUGAAAUCCUGGAGCUCAACUCCAGAACUGCCUUCGAUACUGGAAAGCUCGAGUCCGGGAGAGGUGAGUGGAACUGCGAGUGUAGAGGUGAAAUUCGUAGAUAUUCGCAAGAACACCAGUGGCGAAGGCGGCUUACUGGUCCGGUUCUGACGCUGAGGCGCGAAAGCGUGGGUAGCAAACAGG